CAUGCUGGGCCUAAAAAGACUUCUGUGGAUUGGGUGAAUCUUUAGCCCCAUGUUCCUCAAUCUCAGGAACUGUAAGAAUGGCGUUGCAUUCUCCAAGAAUGGAGAAGCAGUGCUCUUUGGGGAAUUCGGGCACUUGAAGUCUACCCAUCUAACGUAGCUGAGCUUGAGAAAGCUUGUUUUACCCGUUAUUUCUUACAAUUUUUCAGACUUCAAUAUUCAGGUCCCUGACCAAUGCCCAUGCUAACCAAUCAAUCAGAAUACAGCUGGAAGGGACCUCAGAGGUCAUCUAGUCCAACUCCCUCCACAAGCAAGAGAAUCUAUACCGUUCUAGACAAGUGACUGUCCAGUCUCUUCUUGAAGACCUCCAGUGAUGGAGCUUCCACAAUUUCUGGUGGCAAGCAGUUCCACUGGCUAAUUGUUCUCACUGUUAGGAAUGUUCUCCUUAGUUCCAGCUUCCUUCUCUCCUUGAUGAGUUUCCACCCGUUGCUUCUCAUCCUGCCUUCAGGUGCUUUGGAAAAUAAGUGGAGCCUCUCUUCUUUGGGGCAGCCCCUCAAAUGUUGGAAUAUUGCUAUCAGCUGCUUCUUUUUCAUUAAACCAGACACCCCAAUUCCAGCAACUGUUCUUCCUAUGUUUUAAUCUCCAGGCCUUUAAUCAUCCUACUCUCUGGUUCCUAAUUUACGGAAACUAUAAUUAAAAAGAGUGAGGCUGGGUGGACUCCUCCUGGCACAAGGCACCCGAAUGUGUUCCUUCCAAUGGGCAGAGAAGCAGUGGGAGGCAGGUCCCCUCAAGCUUUCCCACUGGGAGGGGAGCAGAGAUCCAGAGGCCUCCCUCCGGGAAAGGCUUCCUGCCCCAAAGAGCCCAUUUCCUUGCCAAUGUUAUUUGCUGCUCCGUUGGGAUGGAAACACAACCGGUUCCUGUCCAAGACCGAAGGGAAAGGGCUGCCCCAGACAAGAGGGCUCAUUUCCUGGAUUAGCAUAUAUUCUACUAUAUUCCUAACAAUAGUAAUCCCUUUCGUUCUCUUCUGUGGGAAUGACAAAGCAGAAAGGUCCAGCAGAGUUUCUAAGAGAGAUCACUGGGAGGGACUUUGGGCGGCAUACAGGUGAAAUCUCAAAUCAUAAAGCCAUAAUAUAAAAUUUAAAAGGCAAGGAUGAACUAAAAAACAGUUUGAAAGUUAAUUAAAAGGAACAUUAAACAUGUUCCCUGCAGGGACCCCAAGGGUGCCUUCCUCCAAAGGAGGCCCAGAUGCUCUGGGCAGGGAAAGGUCUCCGCACUGACUU